AUGGUCAAGAAAUUGCAACUAAAAUAUGAGACCGCCCUAACUGAAUUUGGCUCUCAAUUGACGGAUGCAAAGACCCGGCUGGCAGAUCAAGAGGCAGAGAUAAAGAUUGCUAACUCCAAACUCCAGUUGAGUCUAUCUGAAACUGAAAAAUUGAAGACCAGUUUGACCGAGAAGAAGAAAUCAUGGGCCGAUGAGAAGACCUUGCUGGUACAACGUGCCGAGGCAGCAGAGGCGGCUCUUGAGGAGGUUACCACGGAGCUCACCAGCUUAAAAAACCGUGUGUCUCAAAUGGUCUCUGUCAUCUUCGGUGAGUCAUUUGCAUUAGUCACUUAUACUCUAUUUUUACCAAGAAUAGAAACCGCCUGCUUAACCUUUGUGAAAAUACUCGCAUGUCCACGGAGUAACAAUCUGAGUCCAAACAGUGUGAUAAAACUGAAGGUGGUUUAUACCUAG
rnacentral:rRNA from 1 species